rnacentral:rRNA from 1 species
ACGAACGCUGGCGGCGUGCUUAACACAUGCAAGUCGAACGGAAAGGCCCUGCGUUUGUGGGGUGCUCGAGUGGCGAACGGGUGAGUAACACGUGAGUAACCUGCCCUUGACUUUGGGAUAACUUCAGGAAACUGGGGCUAAUACCGGAUAGGAGCUCCUGCUGCAUGGUGGGGGUUGGAAAGUUUCGGCGGUUGGGGAUGGACUCGCGGCUUAUCAGCUUGUUGGUGGGGUAGUGGCUUACCAAGGCUUUGACGGGUAGCCGGCCUGAGAGGGUGACCGGCCACAUUGGGACUGAGAUACGGCCCAGAGUCGUACGGGAGGCAGUAGUGGGGAAUAUUGCACAAUGGGCGGAAGCCUGAUGCAGCAACGCCGCGUGCGGGAUGACGGCCUUCGGGUUGUAAACCGAUUUCGCCUGUGACGAAGCGUGAGUGACGGUAAUGGGUAAAGAAGCACCGGCUAACUACGUG